rnacentral:ncRNA from 2 species
GAUUGUUCUCAGGGCGGGGCGAAAUUCCCCACCGGCGGUGACAGCCCGCGAGCGCCUCUUUUCGGAGGGGGUCAGCAGAUCCGGUGAAAUUCCGGGGCCGACGGUAUAGUCCGGAUGGAAGAGAACCGUG